GCAACAAGUCUGCAGGGCUCCUGCCUUCCUGGUUCUCUCCCCUUCAGCUCACCAUUUCUGCCACCUCUAUAGCUCUAUAUAUAUUCCUCCCUUGUAUACUCUCCUCCCGAUGCUGCUUCGGUGAAGAAAGUUUGCAACAUGAGAUGGGAUGGGGUCCGACCAGUCGUGGUCUGGUCAACCCAAUACGAUGAUCGGGAAUUCAACCGAAGCGUCAGCAUGGAUUGACAAUUACCUUCAUGUUGGCCACAAUACCUGCUUCUUAUAUAGACUCGCCGAAGAGACAAUAACCAUCUCAUUAUAUUGACCCCGUUACCUCACACAAUGAAGCCCAUGCUUACACCCGCUGCUUUGCAUGUUACCACAGAAGGGCCCCGCGACGAAGACCAUCCGCCUUUCCGUAUAUGAUGGUUAGCCCGUCGCAUCAAAGAUGAGGAUGCAUGAAGUGACGAUUCCGAGUGCCGAGCCCCUACCCAGUCAAAUGAUCUGUACAACAUCUUCUCCUCGAAGGGAUUUAUUUGAACGGAGUGCACAUUGACGGAUAUGGCUGUAUAAUCCGGCGAUACGGUCCUGUUGAUUACCUGGGAUCACAAGGCUGUACUGACCAUCGAGGAUGACGAGUCAAGAAUGUGAAGUUUGCAAUCAAUAUAACAGUGAUAUAUUGCAAGGCAAAGUACGGAGACUCUGGGUUCCAGGGAGAAAUCAUCGUGUUUUUACUUGCGUGAUGAUUAUUACCAUCAUUAUCCUCACCCAGUGCAACCUGGAAAGCCAAUAGUCGAGGGGAUGACGCUAAAUUACCAACGGUGUAACAAUGGCUGCACUAUAAGCAGACAACUGGGAUCAAGGCGAAGAAGGAUAGCGCCGGCAAUGAUAGAGUCCUUGGACUCCAAGAUGGAAUCAUACAGUACCAUGCGUACAUGCCGAUCAUCUUAGUAAAUGUCAGGGUCUUUGUAAGCCUCGACGGGCCGCGGUUCGGAGAAUUGCUGCCGCCGGCAAUCACAGGCUCUUCAUGGCAACUUAUGGUUAUACAUGCGAAAACUAUGGAAUCUCGUAGUGACAUGUCACGACAGCACAGACUAUCUUUAGAUGAACCAAUGGUCAUAUUG
rnacentral:sRNA from 1 species